rnacentral:lncRNA from 1 species
UCAGGAGCUGCGUACUUUGUCGCCAUCUAUGGUUGGUUCCGAGAACUGCAGGUCCCCGCUGACUCCACAGAGGUCAGCGGGAGGCCAGGGGAGCCCGCACCCGUGUUCCGCUCCAAACGCCCCGAAUCGCCAGGGAAUCCUCUCACGGCCGCCCGCCGCCCGGUUCCCCCUCGGCACUGACACGGGGAGCAGGAGCUCCCACGGGGACGCCGACUCGGGUGGGUAGGAGCCAGGCAAGCGGUUCCAGGGCUGGGAGAAGAGGAGGCGCAGAAACUGCUUCAAGGCCACGGUGUUGUUGGGCACCAAAAAGUAUGUCGUGCCCAGAUCCCCGCAGAGACCCCAGAGAGUCGAUCACACCGAACUCAAAAGCAAGGUUUAUUCGGGAGCACAAGCCGCGACAGGGACCCCAUCCAAGCAACCGGCACAGCGGAGGAAGGAGUGAGGCCCGGUCUUUGUUUGGGAGAGUUUUUAAAGGAAAAAAGGGCUACAUCAGCAGGAAAAGAGUUACAUACAGCUCGAAGCUCUGGACGCAGGGAGUCACGGGGGGCUCACAGUACGGGAGCUCUGGGCGCAGGGAGUCACGGGGGGGCUCACAGCACGGAGCUCUGGGCACAGGGAGUCACAGGGGGCUCACAGUACGGGAGCUCUGGGCGCAGGGAGUCACGGGGGGGCUCACAGCACGGAGCUCUGGGCACAGGGAGUUAUUUGUUCAGGAAUCUCUGCUGAGCUGUCCUUGGGCUACUGAGCGUGCUGUCCCUGGUGAGCUUUGUUAUCUCCGGGAGGCCUGAAUGCCUGAAUGCUGCUUUUACGAGGACCCGGGUCUGCUAUGGGAAACGGAGGCUGCUUUUUUUUUUUUUAUUGUUUUGAAAUGGAGUCACUUUGGUUCUUCAGUGUCACCUCAACAAAGACAGCAAUGGAGAGGGGCUCCCCACUCAGUCAGCGCAGAAUUCACCUGGAGCCGGAGUGAGCGUCCAGCCAAGUCAGCCUUGCAGGACAUGCGGGCCACCCCAAGCUCAGCUCGAAACCUGACCAGGCCCCACUCAAAACUGACCAACCCCCAUUCAAAACUGACAACCCCCACUCAAAACUGCCCAACCCCCACUCAAAACCCAACCAACCCCCACUCAAAACCCAGCCAACCCCCACUCAAAACCCAACCAACCCCCACUCAAAACUGACCAACCACCACUCAAAACUGACCAACCACCACUCAAAACUGACCAACCCCACUCAAAACCCAACCAACCCCCACUCAAAACUGACCAACCCCCACUCAAAACCCAACCAACCCCCAAAGUCUGACCAACCCCUGCCUAAAGCCAACAGAUCCCCCAGUCAAAAUCGGACUGCCCUGGUCCGGCACGGGGGCACAGUGGCUUAAGCUACUGCCUGUGACCCCAGCUCCCCAGACCGGCAACUGUUUGCGUCCCGGCUGCUCCUCUCCUGAUCCCGUUCCCGCCAUGGCCUGGGAGUGCAGGGGUAGACGGCCCAAGUGCCUGGGCCCCUGCCAUCGCCAUGUGGAGACCCAGAGGAAGCUCCUUGCUCUGGU